rnacentral:rRNA from 1 species
GACGUAGGGCGCGAGCGUUGUCCGGAUUUAUUGGGCGUAAAGAGCUCGUAGGCGGCUUGUUGCGUCGACUGUGAAAACCCGCGGCUUAACCGCGGGCUUGCAGUUGAUACGGGCAGGCUAGAGUUCGGUAGGGGAGACUGGAAUUCCAGGUGUAGCGGUGAAAUGCGUAGAUAUCUGGAGGAGUACCGGUGGCGAAGGCGGCAUCCUGGACCGACAUUGACGCUGAGGAGCGAAAGCUAGGGGAGCAAACGGG